rnacentral:tRNA from 1 species
UGAAUGGCAUUCAAGAGGUCAGGGGUUCGAAUCCCCUAAGCUCCACCA